rnacentral:rRNA from 1 species
CAAGUCGAACGGUAACAGGCCCGCAAGGGUGCUGACGAGUGGCGGACGGGUGAGGAAUACAUCGGAAUUUGCCCAGUCGUGGGGGAUAACGUAGGGAAACUUACGCUAAUACCGCAUACGACCUAACGGUGAAAGCGGGGGAUCGCAAGACCUCGCGCGGAUGGAUAAGCCGAUGUCGGAUUAGCUAGUUGGCGGGGUAAAGGCCCACCAAGGCGACGAUCCGUAGCUGGUCUGAGAGGAUGAUCAGCCACACUGGGACUGAGACACGGCCCAGGCUCCUACGGGAGGCAGCAGUGGGGAAUAUUGGACAAUGGGGGCAACCCUGAUCCAGCAAUGCCGCGUGUGUGAAGAAGGCCUUCGGGUUGUAAAGCACUUUUAUCAGGAACGAAACGCGCACGGUUAAUAACCUUGCGAACUGACGGUACCUGAGGAAUAAGCACCGGCUAACUUCGUGCCAGCAGCCGCGGUAAUACGAAGGGUGCAAGCGUUACUCGGAAUUACUGGGCGUAAAGGGUGCGUAGGUGGUCGUUUAAGUCCGUUGUGAAAUCCCUGGGCUCAACCUGGGAAUGGCAGUGGAUACUGGACGGCUAGAAUGCGGUAGAGGGUAGUGGAAUUCCCGGUGUAGCAGUGAAAUGCGUANAGAUCGGGAGGAACACCAGUGGCGAAGGCGGCUACCUGGACCAGCAUUGACACUCAAGCACGAAAGCGUGGGGAGCAAACAGGAUUAAAUACCCUGGUAGUCCACGCCCUAAACGAUGCGAACUGGACGUUGGGAGCAACUUGGCUCUCAGUGUCGAAGCUAACGCGUUAAUUCGCCGCC